CCCCCCCCCAGAAGCGCUGGGCCAACGAGCAGCUGCUGCACCCUGAAAAAACCACAUGCGAGGAGGAAAACCUCUACGAGGGGCUGAACCUGGACGAGUGUUCGAUGUACGAGGACAUUUCCCGGGGGGUCCAACCCACCUACCAGGAUGUGGGGACCCUCCCCGGUGACUCCCAGCUGGAAAAGCCCUGAGGGACCCCCUGAAAAAGGGGGGUGGGAACCCCCAGGAAGGGGUUUGGGACCCCCUGGCUCUGCUUGGCCCCCCCCAAUGCUCUGCUCUGGUGACACAAGGCUGUGCUGACCCCCCCCAAAAUAAAGCUGCUGUGCUGCCG